AUGAACUGUGAACUUCCUGAUGUUCAAGCUGGUUUUAGAAAAGGCAGAGGAACCAGAGAUCAAAUUGCCAACAUCUGCUUGAUCAUGGAAAAAGCAAGAGAGUUCCAGAAAAACAUCUAUUUCUGCUUUAUUGACUAUGCCAAAGCCUUUGACUGUGUGGAUCACAAUAAACUGUGGAAAAUUCUGAGAGAGAUGGGAAUACCAGACCACCUGACCUGCCUCUUGAGAAAUCUGUAUGCAGGACAAGAAGCAACAGUUAGAACUGGACAUGGAACAACACACUGGUUCCAAAUAGGAAAAGGAGUACGUCAAGGCUGUAUAUCGUCUCCCUGCUUAUUUAACUUAUAUGUAGAGUACAUCAUGAGAACAGCUGGGCUGGAAGAAACACAAGCUGGAAUCAAGAUUGCCGGGAGAAAUAUCAAUAACCUCAGAUAUGCAGAUGACAACACCCUUAUGGCCGAAAGUGUAGAGGAACUAAAAAGCCUCUUGAUGAAAGUGAAAGAGGAGAGUGAAAAAGUUGGCUUAAAGCUCAACAUUCAGAAAACGAAGAUCACUGCAUCCGGUCCCGUCACUUCAUGGGAAAUAGAUGGGGAAACAGUGGAAACAGUGUCAGAGUUUAUCUUUUUGGGCUCCAAAAUCACUGCAGAUGGUGACUGCAUCCCUGAAAUUAAAAGACGCUUACUCCUUGGAAGAAUAGUUAUGACCAACCUAGAUAGCAUAUUCAAAAGCAGAGACCUUACUUUGCCGACUAAGGUCCAUCUAGUCAAGGUUAUGGUUUUUCCAGUAGUCAUGUAUGGAUGUGAGAGUUGGACUGUGAAGAAGUCUGAGCACCAAAGAAUUGAUGCUUUUGAACUGUGGUAUUGGAGAAGAUUCUUGAGAGUCCCUUGCACUGCAAGGAGAUCUAACCAGUCCAUUCUGAAGGAGAUCAACCCUGGGAUUUCUUUGGAAGGAAUGAUGCUAAAGCUGAAACUCCAGUACUUAGGCUACCUAUGGGAAGAGUUGACUCAUUGUAAAAGACUUUGA
rnacentral:lncRNA from 1 species